AAAAAACAAAAAAGCUUGUAUCUUUUUUCCUCUUUCAUUUUUGAAGUUUCUCUGUAAUUUAGCUCUGUUUGGCACUUUGAUUAGAAUAUGAUAAAGACCUUUACUGCACUCGUUUUUCCCUUUUUUUUGGUUGGGUCCAAAUUUGGGUACUAUUGGCUUGAAAACAUGAGGAGGAAGAGGAAAGAAGUAAUUUGUUGUGAUAGAUUGGUUAUUGCGUUGUUGGAUGAUAGAUGCACAUUGUCUUCUGUUUCCUGCAAUUUGCUGUAGAAUUAUUAUGGAAAAGGGCGCCCUUGAAGCCCUAAUCAAUAAAGGGUUCAGGUUUUUAGGCCAAAUGUGAAGGGCAUUUGGACUGACGUUUGUACAAAAUGUACCAGUAUGUGUACACGAAAAUACAUUUCACGCGUGAAGGCCUUCUAUAGAUUGCCGAACAUUGUGCUUUCUUUAUCAAAUAAGGUUCCAAGCAUGCCCUGUUCUUGAAAUUUUCCCUGUUAUUAACUGGACUUGAUAGAGUGGAGAAGCUGUAGAUUUGUUGGAGUCCUUUUAUCUUGUUUUACAAGGUAAGAACUCGGCUUUUCUUUGCUUAAGAGUGUUUCAAGUAGUUUAGAUCUGCUCUGUGUUUGUGUCUGUGAUUGCACUGGCAGGGUUGCGAGGGGGGUGGAGGAUGGGGAGUGUAUGUGUUCGUGUAUUGUGUAUGUAACUAUAUAACUAUGUAUAUGUCAAUAAGGAUGAGCUUGUAUGAAUUGGUGUACCAUGUAGAGCAUUUAUCAGGUCAUGAUGAAAUAUAUGUGGGCAAAGAAAGCUUUGAGCCUAAACUCUUCAUGCUUUUUAAGCUGCUUUUACAUUUGCUUGGUUUGUUUGUCAAAUAAAAUUGAAGCAAUUGCAUUCAUUUUUUACGUUUGACUCUAUGAUUUGGAUUCUAUAUUGUGAGGGAAGGGAGACUUUAGAAGCUUUUGGUUAAUGGUAAGUACCAAGUAGAAGUUUUCAAGGACUGAUUUGAAAAGUAGAAUGGAUGACAACAAUACAUGUUUGCCAGCUAUUAAGGAAAAAAAAAAAGGCAUAGAGGGUGUGUAGUUGCCUGUUUCUUUGGAAAAUUCAGCUAUGGAACAACGCAUAGAGGGCGUGAUAAUUACAACAUUAAGUUUUCAGAUUUUAUUUGGUUUGUCAAUCAUGUUUUGCCCCCUUCUUCUUCUUCUUCUUCUUCUUUCUUUGGCAAACUUAUGAUUGCAAGUGUUUAUUGGAUUGCUUAAUGACGAAUGAACCAUUGUUAUCACAGAAAAGAACUACAAGGGCAAUAUUGCUAGGUUUCACCAUAUGGUGGAAUGUGAUGAAAAGUAUGUACUUUCCCCAAACACUUUUUUUAAUGAUAGCGGGAAUGCAGCUGUUUUACUUUUUGUGGUUAAAGUGGAUUAAAUGGCAUUUGCGCCUACAAAUUCAUAGUUCAAAUUUGCUGCAACUGAUUGUAGAUACUUUAAAACAUUAUCGUGACAAAAAGUGUAGGCUCAUGAAGAUAUGCAGUGUUUGCUAUCUUCUUGGUGUCAUUGUAGUUACAUGAUGGUUCAUGAAGAUACGUAUUCUCAAUAUUCAGCUAAACUUGGUUGAAACAGAAAAAAGAAAUAGGAUAAAGAGGACGCAGUUCAAUCCUUAUUUGUUAAAGGAUCUUUUUGCUUGUAAUGUUCUUGGUGGAACCAAAACAUUGAAAGUUUUCCAUGCUUUGUCUUGGCUCCCAAUGAACACUGAUGUGUUUGUAAUACAACAUUCUGGUCAACUUCUGUUCCAUGUUUUACAAAUUGCCUGCCUUCAGGAGUAUCUUUGAUAUUAUGGCUUGUUCCUUCAGAAAUUCUGCAACCUUGUACAUUUGACACUGACAGCAAGUGUGGCAUCUGAUGCGGUAUUAUUACUGCAAGCAGACAAUGCAAUCGUAUAAUCGUCAGACACUAACGAAAGUUGUUGUACCAUUAUGAGAAGGCAUCGAUGUAUCAAAAUUAAUUAAUUCUGAACUACAAAGGGCCUCUUGGAUAGUUUGCAGAGCAGUGCAGAUACUCAUCUUUUGAGACAACAUGCUUAACUGUUAAUCUGGUUUCCACAUUAAAUAUGCCCAAAAGAGCAAGUUGCACGAAACUAGAUUCCUAUUUUAUCAAAAUGGCAGGAAAAUUCCAAGAUAUCACAGUCAUAUGAAGAAGGCAAUUAUCAAGAAUAGGUAAUCGACAUCGUGCCAUAUAUCCCACAUUCUAGUACCUGUUAGCAUCGGCCACCAAUUGUUUUACAAAGCGAUAAUAAGAAGCAAUGACCAUGAAAUAAAGGCCACAAGGCAUCUUGCAACUUCCUUAUCAUAGAACACGUAAUAGAUAUAAUUAUAUAACUAACGCUGCAAUCAAUACUAAACUUACCAAUAUCUGCAAUACAAUCCCCCCUGACUUUGUGAUAUUAAUUGGUUUUUGAUUGAGUUAAAAAAGAAACUUAUAAUUUUCCCCAUGCAGUUGAAAAAGAUAGCUGCAAAGAUGAUAUAAAUGAGACAUUGAAUUAAUUGACAAAGUGGAGGGCAUAGAAAUAAGCCACGUCAUGAUUGAGUGGUACAGCUAUUCCAACAAAUUUGUAAUCCUUAAAUGUAAAGAAAAUUGAUUAUUUUUAAUUUACUCCUUACCAUUUUCUGCAAUUCCUUUUUUUUUUUUUUUUUUGCUAAAUUUGCACGCUGUUCAUUGACCUCUUAAAUUAAUACAGUUCACAUUUCUUUGAUAUUACAAAUACUAAUUGGUCAGCAGAAAUUAGUUCCAUAGAGUAAGGUUUUUUAUUUCUUCGUCAAUGAAAUCAAUAAUGUCCUUCCCCUCGUAAAGAACCCACAGUCUUUUUUUUUUAUUAUUAUUUGUCAUCAUUUACGUCUACACCUACUCUUAGUUCUAAUCUAACCUAUACAAGGGGAGGUAACCCAACAGGGUCACAGGGAACCGAUGGGGACUAAAUCACCAUCGGACCAUACGAGUGCAAAGCACCCACAUGAAUCUUAAGCACAGCCACAUUAGGUGGCCACCUAUGAUAGAAGGCAAAGGUUGAACUCUUAACCUCCCACCCCACACUAAAAGUGAUGGUCAAUUCCACUAAAGCGAGCUGUUUAAAAAACCCACAAUCGAACGAUGCUCCUUUUUAUCUUUAUCCGACCCACGGUUGAAAGAAGGUCCCGAAGACAUGUGCACAGUCUUCUUAAUAGCUUCCAUGAUUUUAUAUUGUGGGAGGUAAGGCAGCUUCGUCCCACCCCCUCCCCUCUCCCCGUCCCCGUUUCCAUCCUGCUUUCCUGACGGGCUAAUAAAAAUUUAUUAUAUAAUUUUAUUAUAAUUAAAUUUUAAUAAAUAAUUAAGUAUUAAAAUAUCAAUACAUUACUAAAUUAUUAUUCAUUAUAAUUUUACAAUUGAAACUUAUAAAAAUAAUCAAACAAAAAUUAGUGAAUACAAUCCAAUAUGAUGAAAUAAAUACAAUUAAAGUAGUUAAAUUUUUACUUUUGAUAGAAAUACAAUCACUAAUUCAUUAUUUUACUUGUGCUUUUUUUUGAGUAAGUAUAAUUAGAGAUUUAGUAUAAAUGUAUUAGUAAAUUUAAUAUAACUAAUUAAUAAUUUCUAUUAGUAUAUAUAUUAGUAAUAUAACUGAUAAUUAUAUUAUAUAAUACAUAUAACUAAUAAUAUCAUUAUCAUAAGUUUAUAACUAAUUAAAUUAAAUAUUUUAUAUAUAAUUAUAUGCACAUAUAUAUUUAUUUUUUUUAAACGGAUUCCGGGGCGGGGUAGCCUCCUGCGGGCCAUCCUGUUGCCAUCCUUAGUCUUGAGUUGCUUUUUCUGUUCCACUCCGAAGAAAUUCACUUUCCUCUGCAUCACAUGUUCCUGGAAAACUCAUAGCUGGCUUCCAGUUGAUUCGGAACUGUCAAUUUUCUUUUGGGGUGGGGUUUUCUUCUCAUUCUCUUGUGCUCUUUCCACUUUAACUACUCAAACACGCGUUCAAGUCUAUACUGUAAAUUUCGUCUACACCGCGUUGGACUGGUUUGUUCCUUGAUAUUCCAUCCGUUUUUAUUACAAACUAGUUGGUCCAAAGGGUCAAAAGAAAAAAAAAAAAAGCAGAAAUUAGUUCCAUAGAAGGAGGAGCUUAUAUAUGUCAUAAUGUCAGCAGAAGGGGCAAAACAUUUUGCAGCAGUUUUAUUUCUUCGUCAAAGAAAUCAAUAAUGUCCAGUCCAACCGCGUUUUAACCUGGAAUUUCUACUUGUAAAGAAGGACCACAGUUGAACGGUGCUCCUUUGUUAUUAUCCGACCAAAGGACCCACAGUUGAAAGAAGCUCCUGAAGACAUGUGCAAACAGAAAUGAGUCUUCUUAAUAGCUUCCAUGAUUUUGUAUUGUGGCAGGUAAGGCAGCUUCGUCUUUCACAAUCAGAUGUUUCUUGCUUUAGUUUCUUCUAAUUGGUUAAUUCUUUCUUUUUCUGUUUAACGCGGCUUUUCUUUUUGAUAAAUACUGGACCGAAGAACAUCAGCUUAUUAAUCUAUAACUUCCUCUUCCUUCUUCCUUUCAAGAUAUUACAACUGGACUGUCCAAUCCUAUAAACCAGAAGCCGCCUUCCCCUACAUUCUGUUUUGUGUCAGAAAUGGCAGAAACUGUUGUCUCUUUUGUGUCAGAUCAUCUCGCAACCUUACUCCGAGAGGAGGGAAGCCUAUUGGGAGGGCUUCGACAGGAGGUCCAACUCAUCAGGGAUGAGUUGGGGCAUAUGAAAGCUUUCCUCAAAGUGGCUGAAGCAAAAGAAGAAGAAGAUCCCAGGCUCCAAGAAUGGAUCAAGCAAGUGCGCGAAGCUGCUUAUGACAUUGAAGAUGUUCUCGAUGAAUUUGUACUUCGCUUUGCUGGCUACCGACAUCAUGGAUUCUGUGGCUCUCUGCAGAGAAUUCUCAAAGCCAUUAAGAGCUUGCGAGCUCGUCAUCAGGUUGCCAGUGAAAUUCAAAGCAUAAAGUCCAGGAUCAAAAAUAUUUCAGAAGGACGUCAGAGAUACCAAGUUGAAUUUGGGAUCAAUGACCGUGUCACUGGAUCUUCAACCAUGAACGACUCAUGGCGCUAUAGCAGAGAUGACGCACUUCUAGUGGAGGAAGCAAAAUUGGUUGGCAUUGACCAGCCCAAACAACAUCUGAUUUCAAAGCUUCUCGAGGGGCACGAUCACCAACUCAAAGUUGUUUCAGUGGUUGGAAUGGGAGGACUCGGCAAAACUACCCUAGUCAAAAAGGUCCAUGAAGAUCCAGAUGUUAGAAAGAAUUUCCCAGUUCGUGCCUGGGUAACCGUCUCUCAAACAUGCGACUUUCCAAAGCUCCUGAGAGACUUGAUUUGGCAGUUGCACAAGGAAUUGAACAAAUCAGUCCCACAAUUCAUCGAAUCUAUAUCUACCGCUGAGCUGAAAGAAUUUGUCAAAGAUUUUCUUCAACAAGUUGGAAGGUAUGCAAUUGUCUUCGAUGACGUGUGGGACGUGGAAUUUUGGAAUGAAAUCAAAUUUGCACUGCCUGAGGGUAACUACGGCAAUCGUGUAAUGCUGACAACACGAAAAGCCGAUGUAGCCUUUGCCUCUUGCACAGAAUCUCAGGAUUUUGUCUACAAAAUGGAGCCACUAUCAAUUGAAGAUUCGUGGACCCUAUUUUGUAACAAGAUCUUUAAAGGAAAUCGUUGCCCCACCCACCUGAUGGAUGUUGCAAAAGCUGUAUUGGAUAAAUGUGACGGUUUGCCUUUGGCGAUUGUUACGAUUGGUGGGCUCUUGGCUUCGAAGGACGCGAGCAGAAUAGAUGAAUGGGAGAAGAUUCAACAGAGUCUUGGGGGUGAAUUCACCGGUAAGCUAGAGAGAGUUAAAAGGAUACUUUCUCUGAGUUACAAUGAUCUGCCUUCGCACCUCAAACCCUGUCUGUUGUAUUUAACCAUUUAUCCGGAGGAUUAUCCAAUAAACUGCCAUAUGCUGAUUCAAUUAUGGAUUGCUGAAAGAUUUGUAGAAUGGAGAGAAGGAAUGAGUAUUGAAGAUGUAGCCUGGGGUUAUCUCAGAGAACUCAUCAGCAGAAGCCUAAUUCAAGCAACUAAAGUGUUUUAUGAAGGAACGCCCCACACGUGUCGAAUCCAUGACCUAUUGAGAGAAGUUAUUCUCAUCAAGUCAAGGGAACAAAACAUGGUGACAGUUACUACUGGACAACCAAUGACGUGGCCAUCUGAGAAGGUACGCCGUCUAGCAAUCCAUAGUAGUAGUAACAGUAGCAACAUCCAAUACCACCAACAAAGACAAUUUUAUUCCUUUGAACACCUUCGAUCAUUCAUCACAGUUAGUUCCACCAACCCAUUACUAUCCAAAACUUUCCUAUCUGAAGUUCUAAGGAGUAGCAAGUUGCUAAAGGUUCUAGAUUUGACUAAUGAAGAGAUAGAGGCAACACCAAAUGAGAUUUUCAACUUGUUGCAUCUCACAUAUCUGAGUCUAUAUGGUACAAAAGUGGAAAGAGUCCCGAGAGCUAUUGGAAAGCUUCUACAUUUGGAAUAUCUGAAUUUGGGGUACACUGGAGUUAGGGAAUUACCCGUGGAAAUCCUAAAGCUGCAAAAGCUUCGACAUCUCUUUGUAUUCCAUCCAGUUGAUCCCUCAAAUGAUGAUUAUGGAUUUCAUGGGUUUAAAGGUCCGUCAAAAUUGGGAGGGCUUCUGGCUCUACAAAUAUUAAACACCAUAGAUGCAAGUAGUGGGUCUGUAAUAGUUAAAGAGAUAGGAAAAUUGACCCAAUUAAGAGAGUUAGCUAUUACACAGUUGAGAAGAGAAGAUGGAAAGGAGCUCUGCUCCUCCCUUGUCAACCUCACCAGUCUUCGGGAAUUAAGUGUUGAUUCAGUUGGAAAAGGUGAUGAUUAUGAGAUAAUCGAUCUAAAUCAUCAUCAACAUUCUCUUUCUUCUUCUCGUUCGUUUCUUCGAUCUCUUCGUGUGCUAAUUAUGCGUGGCCGCUUAGAAACAAUGCCACGAUGGGUAGCUCAUCUUCAAAACUUGGUAAGCUUAGAUUUGAUCUGGAGCGGGUUAAGGGCUGAGGAGGAUCCGCUUGAAUCCCUCCAACAUUUGCCCAAUUUGGAUGACAUUAGUUUCAUUGGAUCUUACCAGGGAGAAGGGCUGUGUUUCAAGGCUGGAGGGUUCCUGAAAUUGAAGAGGUUGCACUUAAAGAGAAUGGAAGGGUUGAGAUGGAUGAGAGUGGAGGAGGGUGCAUUGCCUCGUCUCCAGAAACUAUUUCUGCAACAACUUCCAUCACUAAAGGAAUUACCAUUGGGUAUUCAGCACUUGAGCAAUCUUCAACGGCUGAUUUUGUCUGAGAUGAGUUCUCAAUUGAGAGAGAAACUGUUGGAGGAUCAGAAGGAAGAAAGUGAAGAUUACACAAGAAUCGCACAUAUUCCUGAAAUUUUCAUUGGUUACUGUACAGAUGAUAGGAAAUGGAGAAUCCUCCGGCUAUGGGGGAAGAAGAAGAAAACAUUCCUUGCCUAGCACUAGUAGCAUCCCGUGGCUUUCCUUUCUCUUCUUCUUCUAUUUUUCUGAGAAGUUUCUGAUGUUUUCUAUCUUCUCCACUGCGUGUAGUAUGGUGCAUUGCAUCAUCAUCUUGUUCAUAUGCUGCAUUUUGUUAAUGUAUUUUUUUAACUGUUUUUCUUUAAUUUUAACUUCAGCAAAUGCAGCAUUCUUACCUACCCCCCCAAAUAUGCGCUUGUGAGAUCAUGAGCUCAAUGAUAACUAAGUACAGGAAUCAAUUUGCCCAUAAGUCUACAUAAAGAUUGCAAUGCAUAUAGCAUUGUGCGAAAUUUGAGAAUGACAAUCUUCUUUUCACUCUUCAAUUUUAGAUAACAAAAGGGUCUGAUCCCAAUUUUGAUUUAUUUCUAAAAGUUUCUCUAGAUUUGCCAAUUUUUUAGGAGCAUAAAAAUAGGAUUUGAGAAGCUCCUCAACUUCUAGCUGCGUAUAUAAGAAAAAAAUACUAAACAAAUAAAGGGUGACUUGUGUGUAGAGGUGUCAAAAUGGGUGUUUUGGACGAGUUUAGGAUGGUUAAAAUAGGUAAUGGGUAUAAGUGAGUCAACUCAUUUAUACCCAUCUAAUUAAAUGCGUAUAAAUGGGUAAGUCAAAAAAUGAAUUGGGUAACCCAAUUAUCUAUUUAUAAUCCAUUUAUUUUAAAUUUUUGUAAAUUCAUUUAAAUUUAUUUUUGCAAAUUAAGUUAUCAAUUUAUCCCAUCCUUUGCACCCAUCAUUAGUUUUAAAUGUUUACUUAUAAUGCUCAAUGAGCCUAAUUACUAAUUUUUUUCCCUUGCGUACUGUAUGUUUCAAAAUUACAUACUAUUUAAUAAUGGAACAAUAAGAAUAUAAAAAUUUGAACUAAACACUAUAAAAGUUAACAUAAAAAUUUAAUCCAAAAUUUUUGAUAUUCUAGCAUUUUUUUUUGUGUAUAAAUUUAAAAUUUCAUUUUGAAAAGGUAGGAAAAGAAGUUAAAACUUGUCACAAAUUGAUAAUGCUAAAAAUUGAACAAGUUAACAAACUAAGAGAAAAGAAAAUGAUAAGAUGAAACUAAUAAAUAAUAAUACUAAUAAUAAUGAAACGAAAGUAGUUAACAUCGUGAUAAAAUAAAAAUUUUGAAAAAAAAAAAUGGGUGGGAAAGAGAGGAGGUUUGGGGGAAGACAAUUCUAAAUUGGUUAAUUAGAUUAGAUGAGUUACCUAAUAAUACCCAUUUAUACCCCAAUAAUACGCUUUUAUACCCAUUUAGAUGGGUUAAAUGGGUUAAAUGAAUAUUAUUGGAUAACUCAUUUAUACUUAGAUGCAAAAACUUAAGAUAUUUAUACUCAUCUAUUCAUGAGCGAGUAUGGAUAAAUUUAAUAAAAUGAAUUUGUUUGCCACCUAUAAAUAUAACAGAUGCAGCUCACUAAAGAGUUGAAGGCCAAAAUGCAAAUCCAUCCAUCAUACUACAUGAAUAACUUGCCAUAAAAUCAUGGUGUUUAUUCCUCAAUCCAAAAAUAUGUAGCUUUCUAGAUGCAUUUUUCCAAACCAGAUAGAGAAAAAUAAAAAAUGCAUCAGAUUUUCCUUGGUUUAUUAUACAGGGAAAUAACAUUGAAAAUCUAAAUACUCUAUAUGAUCAUCAAAUAGUUAAAUAUCCUUCUAUUUCUGUCCCAAAAUAUGAUACUAGUAACAAAAAAUUAAAUGGCAUUCUCGUCAUUUUGCCCUCAACGAAAGCUAUCCUCUUUCUUGAUUUCUUCCUCAAAUAAAACUGGAAUGCCUAGAGCCCUUUCCCUCUCUGGAAGUUCUAACUAGUUCAUUUUGUAAGCAACAUAGCUGAUUCACCACCGAUGGGUAUUUUUUCAUGGUUCAAGGGAACCAAAAACGAUACCGACUCCAAACCCGCGACCCAAAAAUCCGAACCCGUUAAAACCCAAUCCGCUUCUGAAGUUCCCGGCAUGAACGGAGCAGUGGAGGUCCGGCGGCCCGGCCCACCACCAGCUGAUAUCACCGUUUUCGAAUUCGGUUCCGUUGCCGCUUCUGCCGACAAGGUCACCCUCGCCGGCUUCUGCCCUGUUUCGGACGAGCUCGAACCUUGCCGCUGGGAGAUUCUGCCGGCUCAAGGCUCCGACGCCCCUCAAUUUCGCGUAGUCUUUUGACGGAAAAAUAGUUGGCGAAAAAGAAAGGGAGAAUUUUCAGCUUAGCUUUUGAGGAAAUGGUGAGGAGGAUUAAAUCCCAAUCCUGAGUAGAGUUUCUUCAGUUCAUAUGGGUUUUUAUCUAUAUUAAAGAAACAAAAAAGCUUGUAUCAUUUUUUUUCUUUCAUUUUUGAAGUUUCUCUGUAAUUUAGCUCUGUUUGACACUUUGAUUAGAAUAUGAUAAAGACCUUUACUGCACUUGUUUUUCCCAUUUUUUCGGUUGGGUCCAAAUUUGGCUUGAAAACACGAGAAGGAAGAGGAAAGAAGUAAAUUUGUUGUGAUAGAUUGGUUAUUGCGUUGUUGGAUGAUAGAUGCACAUUUUCUUCUGUUUCCUGCAAUUUGCUGUAGAAUUAUCAUGGAAAAGGGCGCCCUUGAAGCCCUAAUCGGUAAAGGGUUCAGGUUUUUAGGCCAAAUGUGACGGGCAUUUGCACUGACGUUUGUACAAAAUGUACCAAUAUGUGUACACGAAAAUACAUUUCAGGCAUGAAGGCCUUCUAUAGAUAGCCGAACAUUGUGCUUUCUUUAUCAAAUAAGGUUCCAAGCAUGCCCUGUUCUUGAAACUUUCCCUGUUAUUAACUGGACUUGACAGAGUGGAGAAGCUGUAGAUUUGUUAGAGUCCUUUUAUCUCGUUUUACAAUGUAAGAACUUGGCUUUUCUUUGCUUAAGAGUGUUUCAAGGAAGGAUGGGAUGGGAUGAGUGCUUUUAUAGACCCUCUGUCUAGUAGUUUAGAUCUGCUUUGUGUGUGUGCCUGCGAUUGUGUUGGCAGGGUUGCGAGGAGGAUGGAGGAUGGGGAGUGUAUGUGUUCUUGUUUUGUGUAUGUAACUAUGUCUAUGUCAAUAAGGAUGAGCUUAUAUGGAUUGCUGUACCAUGUAGAGCAUAUAUCAUGUCAUGUUGAAAUAUAUGUGGGCAGAGAAAGCUUUGAGCCUAAACUCUUCAUGCUUUUUAAGUUGAAAGCUUUGAGCCUAUACUCUUCAUGCUUUUUAAGUUGCUUUUACAUUUGCUUGGUUUGUUUGUCAAAUAAAAUUGAAGCAAUUGCAUUCAUUUUUUACAUUUGACUCUAUGAUUUGGAUUCUAUAUUGUGAGGGAAGGGAGACUUUAGAAGCUUUUGGUUAAUAUUAAGCACCAAGUAGAAGUUUUCAAGGACUGAUUUGAAAAGUAGAAUGGAUGAAAACAAUACAUGUUUGCCAGCUAUUAAAAAAAAAAGGCAUAGAGGGUGUGUAGUUGCCUGUUUCUUUGGAAAAUUUAUUGAACAACGCAUAGAGGGCGUGACAAUUACAACGUUAAGUUUUCAGAUUUUAUUUGGUUUGUCAAUCAUGUUCCCUCCCCCCCCCCCUCCUCUCUCUCUCUCUCUCUUCCUCUUCUUCUUCUUUCUUUGGCAAAGUUAUGAUUGCAAGUGUUUAUUGGAUUGCAUAAUGACGAAUGAACCAUUGUUGUCACAGAAAAGAAAUACAAGGUCAAUAUUGCUAGGUUUCACUAUAUGGUUGAAAGUGAUGAAAAUUAUGUACUCUCCGCCAUAAUGCGGAAAAAGUAGUCCAAUUUUUUUUUAAUGAUAGUGGGAAUGCAGCAGUUUGCUUUUUGUGGUUAAAGUGGAUUAAAUAGCAUUUGCUCCUAGAAGUUCAUAGUUCAAAUUUGCCGCAACUGAUUGUAGAUACUUUAAAACGUUAUCAUGCUAGUAAGUGCAGUAGUAUAAGCUAUCAAUUAUCAUCAUUCCUCUAGUACAUAUUCCAAAUGCAGUGUCUAGACUUGCACUUAAGUAGUGGUAGCUGGGGCUAUCUUCUUAGUGUCAUUGCAGUUACAUGAUGGUUCAUGAAGUUAUGUAUUCUCAAUAUUCGGCUAAACUCGGUUGAAACAGAAUAAAGAAAUAAGGAUAAAGAGGACACAGUUCAAUUCUUAUUUGUUAAAGAUAGAUGGAUCCUUUUGCUUGUAAUGUUCCUGGUGGAACCAAAACAUUGAAAGUUUUCCAUGCUUUGUCUUGGCUACCAAUGAGCACUGGUGUGUUUGUAAUACAACAUUCUGGUCAACUUCUGUUCCAUGGUUACAAAUUGCCUGCCUUCAGGAGUGUCUUUGAUAUUAUGGCUAUAGUUCCUUCAGAAAUUCUGCAACCUUGUACAUUUGACACUGACAGCAAGUGUGGCAUCUGAUGCGGUAUAUGACCUUAAUGGCGAGAUUGUUUAAUGUGCAACUCAGGUAUUCAUUCACUGAAAAAAAUAACCACUCUUGUAUUUACAAAGCACAAAAUGAGAGGCAAUGCUCAGCUAUCAAGAAAAAGGCAACUUCUACGUUUUCCGCACAAUGGAAAAGUUGAAAUUUUUAAAGAGAGUCGCGUUCAAAGGAUGCUAUAACCAUCAUCUUCGCUCGUUCCAAUGAAACACACGAUUGCUAGAACAAAUGUGAAAAAGGAUGAGAGCUCCAUUGCCAUUGCCCCCCAGCCAAUUACUCCAGCAUGCUUUAAGAUGAUUGGUAUUGCUAUGCUACCAACAGCUGAAGCCCCAGUUAAGAAUUUGGUCACGUCUGCCCAGCUGUUGCCACAUUGCUCAUGAAAACCAAAUAAGGCCAAAAAAAUCCAUAUAAAUGAACUUGAAUAAAAGCAUCUCAUCAGAGAAACAGUGCGGAAGGGAAAAAAAAAAAAAAAAACCUUACCCACUUUGAGAUUCGGAGAAGAGAGAUGAAGUAUCCGAGCCAGCCAAAAAAAUUAAGGGCAUAGGUAGAACCACAUACAUUAUUACUGCAAGCAGACAAUGCAAUCGUAUAAUCGUCAGACACUAAGGAAAGUUGUUGUACCAUUUUGAGAAGGCAUUGAUGUAUCAAAAUUAACUGAUUCUGAACUACAAAGGGCUUCUUGGAUUAGUUUGCAGAUCAGUGCAGAUACUCAUCUUUUGAGACAACAUUCUUAACUGUUAAUCUGGUUUCCACAUUAAAUAUGCCCAAAAGAGCAAGUUGCACGAAACUAGAUUCCUAUUUUAUCAAAAUGGCAGGAGAAUUCCAAGAUAUCACAGUCAUAUGCAGAAGCCAAUUAUCAAGAAUAGGUAAUCGACAUCGUGCCAAAGAUCCCACAUUCUUGUACCUGUUAGCAUUGGCCACCAAUUGUUGUACAAAGCACAUUCCUGCAACAAAAGUCAAAGCGAUAAUAAGAAGCAAUGACCGUGAAAUAAAAGCCACAAGGCAUCUUGCAGCUUCCUUAUCAUAGAACACGUAAUAGAUAUAAUUAUAUAACUAACGCUGCGAUCAACACUAAACUUACCAAUAUCUGCAACACAAUCCCCCCCUGACUUUAUGAUAUUAAUUGGUAUUUGAUUGAGUUAAAAAAAAACUUAAAUUUUCCCUAAGCAGUUAAAAAAGACAGCUGCAAAGAUGAUAUAAAUGAGACAUUAAAUUAAUUGACAAAGUGCAGGGCAUAGAAAUAAGCCACGUCAUGAUUGAGUGGUACAGCUAUUCUAACAAAUUUGUAAUCCUUAAUUUUAAAGAAAAUUGAUUAUUUUUAAUUUACUCCUUACCAUUUUCUGCAAUACCUUUUUUUUUUGUUGCUAAAUUUGCAUGCUGUUCAUACCUCUUAAAUCAAUACAGUUCACAUUUCUUUGACAUUACAAAUACUAAUUGGUCAGCAGAAAUUAGUUCCAUAGAGUAAGGUUUUUAUUUCUUCGUUAAUGAAAUCAAUGAUGUCCUUCCCCUCGUAAAGAACCCACAGUCUUUUUUUUUUGUCACUUGUCAUCAUCUAUAUUUACAUCUACUUCUAGUCCUAAUCUAACCUAUAUUAGGGGAGGUAAUCCAACAAGGUUACGGGAAAUCGAUGAGAACUAAACUACCAUCGGACCAUAUGAGUACAAAGCACCCAUAUAAAUCUUAAGCAUAACCACAUUAGGUGACCACUUUUGAUGGGAGGCGAAGGUUUGAACAUUUAAACUCCCACCCGCACUAAAAGUGAUGAUCAACUCCCUAGUUAGUUUAAAGAACCCACAAUCGAACGAUGCUCCUUUUUAUCUUUAUCCGACCAAGGGGCCCACGGUUGAAAUAAGGUUCCGAAGACAAUUGUGGGCGACCAGUGUCUUCUUAAUAGCUUCCAUGAUUUUAUAUUGUGGCCGGUAAGGCAGCUCCGUCCCACCGCCACCCCCUCCCCAUCCCCGUCCUGCUUUUCUGACGGGCUAAUAAAAAUUUAUUAUAUAAUUUUAUUAUAAUUAAAUUUUAAUAAAUAAUUAAGUAUUAAAAUAUAAAUAUAUCAUCAAAUUAUUAUUCAUUAUAAUUUUACAAUUAAAACUUAUAAAAAUAAUCAAACAAAAAUUAUUGAAUGCAAUCUAAUAUGAUGAAAUAAAUACAAUUAAAAUAGUUAAAUAUUUACUUUUGACAGAAAUACAAUCACUAAUUCAUUAUUUUACUUGUACUUUUUUUUGAGAAAAAAUAUUAUUAUAUUAAGUAUAAUUAGAGAUUUAGUAUAAAUGUAUUAGUAAAUUUAAUAUAACAAAUUAAUAAUUGCUAUUAGUAUAUAUAUUAUUAAUAUAACUGAUAAUGAUAUUAUAUAAUAUAUAUAACUAAUAAUAUUAUUAUUAUAAGUUUAUAAUUAAUUAAAUUAAACAUUUUAUAUAUAAUUAUAUGUACAUAUAUAUUUAUUUUUUUUAAACGGAUGCCGGGGCGGGGUAGCCUCCUGCGGGCCAUCCUUUUGCCAUCCUUAUUAGUCUUGAGUUGCUUUUUCUGUUCCACUCCGAAGAAAUUCACUUUCCUCUGCAUCACAUGUUCCUGGAAAACUCAUAGCUGGCUUCCAUUUGAUUCGGAACUGUCAAUUUUCUUUUGGGGUGGGGUUUUCUUCUCAUUCUCUUGUGCUCUUUCCACUUUAACUACUCAAACACGCGUUCAUGUCUAUACUGUAAAUUCUCUUGUGCUCUUUCCGUUUUUAUUACAAAUACUAGUUGGUCCAAAGGGUCAAAAGAAAAAAAAUGCAGAAAUUAGUUGCAUAGAAGGAGGAGUUUAUAUAUGUCAUAAUGUCAGCAGAAGGGGCAAAACAUUUUGCAGUAGUUUAUUUCUUCGUCAAAGAAAUCAAUAAUGUUGAACGGUGCUCCUUUGUUAUUAUCCGACCAAAGGACCCACAGUUGAAAGAAGCUCCUGAAGACAUGUGCAAACAGAGUCUUCUUAAUAGCUUCCAUGAUUUUGUAUUGUGGCAGGUAAGGCAGCUUCGUCUUUCACAAUCAGAUGUUUCUUGCUUUAGUUUCUUCUAAUUGGUUAAUUCUUUCUUUUUCUGUUUAACGCUGUUUUUCUUUUUGAUAAAUACUGCACCGAAGAACAUCAGCUUAUGAAUCUGUAUAACUUCCUCUUCCUUCUUCCUUUCAAGAUAUUACAACUGGACUGUCCUAUCCUAUAAACCAGAAGCCGCCUUCCCCGACAUUCUUAGGUUAAAAAGGAAGACUGAAAAUGGCAGCAACUGUUGUCUCUUUUGUUUCAAAUCAUCUCGCAACCUUACUCCGAGAGGAGGGAAGCCUAUUGGGAGGGCUUCGACAAGAGGUCCAACUAAUCAAGGAUGAGUUGGGGCAUAUGAAAGCUUUCCUCAAAGUGGCUGAAGCAAAAGAAGAUGAUGAUCCCAGGCUCCAAGAAUGGAUCAACCAAGUGCGCGAAGCUGCUUAUGACAUUGAAGAUGUUCUCGAUGAAUUUGUACUUCGCUUUGCUGGCUACCGACAUCAUGGAUUCGGUGGCUCUCUGCAGAGAAUUCUCAAAGCCAGUAAGAGCUUGCGAGCUCGUCAUCAGGUUGCCAGUGAAAUUCAAAGCAUAAAGUCCAGGAUCAAAAAUAUUUCAGAAGGACGUCAGAGAUACCAAGCCGAAUUUGCCAUCGACGACCGUGUCGCUGGAUCGUCAACCAUGACCAAUUCAUGGCGCUAUAGCAGGGAUGAUGCACUUCUAGUGGAGGAAGCAAAAUUGGUUGGCAUUGACCAGCCCAAACAACAUCUGAUUUCUGAGCUCCUGGAAGGGGAUGAUUACCAACUAAAAGUUGUUUCAGUGCUUGGAAUGGGAGGACUCGGCAAAACUACCCUAGUGAAAAAAGUCCAUGAAGAUCCAGAUGUUAGAAAGAAUUUCCCAGUUCGUGCCUGGGUAACCGUCUCUCAAACAUGCGACUUUCCAAAGCGCCUGAGAGACUUGAUUUGGCAGUUGCACAAGGAAUUGAACAAAUCAGUCCCACAAUUCAUCGAGUCUAUAUCUACCACUGAGUUGAAAGAAUUUGUCAAAGAUUUUCUUCAACAAGUUGGAAGGUAUGCAAUUGUGUUCGAUGACGUGUGGGACGUGGAAUUUUGGAAUGAAAUCAAAUUUGCACUGCCUGAGGGUAACUACGGCAAUCGUGUAAUGCUGACAACACGAAAAGCCGAUGUAGCCUUUGCCUCUUGCACAGAAUCUCAGGAUUUUGUCUACAAAAUGGAGCCACUAUCAAUUGAAGAUUCGUGGACCCUAUUUUGUAACAAGAUCUUUAAAGGAAAUCGUUGCCCUGAUCACCUGAUGGAUGUUGCAAAAGCUGUAUUGGAUAAAUGUGACGGUUUGCCUUUGGCGAUUGUUGCGAUCGGUGGGCUCUUGGCUUCGAAGGACGUGAGCAGAAUAGAUGAAUGGGAGAUGAUUCAACAGAGUCUUGGGGGUGAAUUAGAAGGCACCGGUAAGCUAGAGAGAGUUAAAAGAAUACUUUCUCUGAGUUACAACGAUCUGCCUUCGCAUCUCAAACCCUGUCUGUUGUAUUUAAGCAUUUAUCCGGAGGAUUAUCUAAUAGAUAGCAGAACACUGACUCAAUUAUGGAUUGCUGAAAGAUUUGUAGAAUGGAGAGAAGGAAUGAAUAUUGAAGAUGUAGCCUGGGGUUAUUUCAAUGAACUCAUCAGCAGAAGCCUAAUUCAAGUAGCUGAAGUGUUUUAUGAAGGAUUGCCCGACAAGUGUCAAAUCCAUGAUCUAUUGAGAGAAGUUAUUCUCAUGAAGUCAAGGGAACAAAACAUGGUGACAGUUACUACUGGACAACCAAUGACGUGGCCAUCUGAGAAGGUACGCCGUCUAGCACUCCAUAGUAGUAGUAACAGCAGCAACAUCCAAUACCACCAACAAAGACAAUUUUAUUCCUUUGAACACCUUCGAUCAUUCAUCGCAGUUAGUUUCACCAACCCAUUACUGUCCAAAACUUUCCUAUCUGAAGUUCUAAGGAGCAGUAAGUUGCUAAAGGUUUUGGAUUUGAGAGGUGAAGAGAUAGAGGAAACACCAAAUGAGAUUUUCAGCUUGUUGCAUCUCACAUAUCUGAGCCUAUAUGGUACAAAAGUGGCAAGAGUCCCGAGAGCAAUUGGAAAGCUUCAACAUUUGGAACAUCUGAAUUUGGGGAACACUGGAGUUAGGGAAUUACCCGUGGAAAUCCUAAAGCUACUAAAGCUUCGGCAUCUCAGAGUAUAUCAACAAGUUGAUCCCUCAGAUAGUGAUUAUGGAUAUCAUGGGUUUAAAGGUCCGUCAAAAUUGGGAGGGCUUCUCGCUCUACAAAGGUUAAACAGCAUAGAUGCAAGUAGUGGGUCUGUAAUAGUUAAAGAGAUAGGAAAAUUGACCCAAUUAAGAGUGUUAUAUAUUACACAGUUGAGAAGAGAAGAUGGAAAGGAGCUCUGCUCCUCCCUUGUCAACCUCACCAGCCUUCAGCAAUUAAGGAUUGCUUCAGUUGGAAAAGGUUAUGAUUUUGAGAUAAUCGAUCUAAAUCAUCAUCAACAUUCUCUUUCUUCUUCCUCUUCUUGUUCGUUUCUUCAAUCUCUUCGUUUGCUACUAGUGCGUGGCCGCUUAGAAACGAUGCCAGUAUGGAUCACUCAUCUUCAAAACUUGGUAAAAAUAAAUUUGAGCUGGAGUAGGUUAAGGGCAGAUGAGGAUCCGCUUAAAUCCCUCCAACAUUUGCCCAAUUUGGAUGCAAUUAAUUUCUGUGGAUGUUACCAAGGAGAAGGGUUAUGUUUCAAGGCUGGAGGGUUCCAAAAGCUGAAAUGGUUGUGGUUAAAGAAAAUGGAAGGGUUGAGAUGGAUGGCAGUGGAGGAGGGUGCAUGCCCUCAUCUCCAAAGACUAAUUCUUCAUCGACUUCCAUCACUAGAGGACUUACCUUCGGGAAUUCAGCACUUGAGCCAUCUUCAAGAGCUUUAUUUGUAUGAGAUGAGUUCUCAACUGAUGGAAAAGGUAGGGAAUCAAAAGGAAGACAGUGAAGAUUACAGAAGAAUAGCACACAUUCCUGAAAUUGACAUUGGUUUCUAUGCCGAUGAUGGGGAAUGGAUAAUCCGCCGGCUGUGGGGGAAGAAGAAGAAAACAAUCCUUGCCUAGCACUAGCAGCAUCCCGUGGCUUUCCUUUCUCUUCUUCUUCUAUUUUUCUGAGAAGUUUCUGAUGUUUUCUAUCUUCUCCACUGCGUGUAGUAUGGUGCAUUGCAUCGUCAUCUUGUUCAUAAGCUGCAUUUUGUUAAUGUAUUUUUUUUUAACUGUUUUUCUUUAAUUUUAACUUCAGCAAAUGAAGCAUUCUUACCUACCUCCCCAAAUAAGCACUUGUAAGUACAGGAAUCAAUUUGCCCAUAAGUCUGCAUAAAGAUUGCAAUGCAUAUAGCAUUGUGCGAAAUUUGAGAAUGACAAUCUUCUUUUCACUCUUCGAUUUUGGAUAACAAAAGGGUCUGAUCCCAAUUUUGAUUUAUUUCUAAAAGUUUCUCUAGAUUUGCCAAUUUUUUAGGAGCAUAAAAAUGGGAUUUAAGAAGCUCCUCAAGUUAAGGGUGAUUUACAAAUAAAGGGUGAUUUACAGCGGAUGCAGCUCACCAAAGAGUUGAAGGCCAAAAUGCAUAUAGCUUUCUAGAUGCAUUUUUCCAAACCAGAUAGAGAAAAAUAAAAAAUGCAUCAAUUUUCCUUGGUUUAUUAUACAGGGAAAUAACGAAAGUCUAAAUACUACAUGAUGAUCUAAUAGUUAAAUAUCUUCUAUUUCUGUCCUAAAAUAGGGAUAAUUGCAUAAAUCUUCUCUGAGGUUUCCGAUAUUUGCAGUGACCUCUCCUGUAAUUUAAAAAAUUACAUUGAUCUUUUCUGAUGUUACUAAUUCUUUAUAAAUUUAGUCCAAACGAUUAAAAUAUUAUUUUAGGGAGUGAAAUUAGAAAUUUGUAUCAAAUUUGUCUUCCACCAUUGCUAAUAAAAAUGGAAAGCCUGGAACCCCUCCACCCUUUCUCUCUCUGGAAGUUCAUCUUGUAAGCAACAUAACUGAUUCACCACCAAUGGGUAUUUUUUCAUGGUUCAAGGGAACCAAAAACGAUACCAACUCCAAACCGGCGACCCAAAAAUCCGAACCGGUGAAAACCCAAUCCGCUUCUGAAGUUCCCGGCAUGAACGGAGCACUGGAGGUCCGGCGGCCCGGCCCACCACCAGUUAUAUCACCGUUUUCGAAUUCGGUUCCAUUGCCGCUUCUGCCGAUAAGGUCACCCUCGCCGGCUUCUGCCCUGUUUCCCACGAGCUCGAACCUUGCCGCUGGGAGAUUCUGCCGGCUCAAGGCUCCGACGCCCCUCAAUUUCGCGUAGUCUUUUGACGGAAAAAUAGUUGGCGAAAAAGAAACGGAGAAUUUUCAGCUUAGCUUUUGAGGAAAUGGUGAGGAGGAGUAAAAUCCCAAUCCUGAGUAGAGUUUCUUCAGUUCAUAUGGGUUUUUAUCUAUAUUAAAAAAACAAAAAAGCUUGUAUAUUUUUUUCUCUUUCAUUUUUGAAGUUUCUCUGUAAUUUAGCUCUGUUUGACACUUUGAUUAGAAUAUGAUAAAGACCUUUACUGCACUUGUUUUUCCCUUUUUUUUUGGGUUGGGUCCAAAUUUGGGUACUAUUGGCUUGAAAACAUGAGGAGGAAGAGGAAAGAAGUAAAUUUGUUGUGAUAGAUUGGUUAUUGCGUUGUUGGAUGAUAGAUGCACAUUGUCUUCUGUUUCCUGCAAUUUGCUGUUGAAUUAUUAUGGAAAAGGGCGCCCUUGAAGCCCUAAUCAAUAAAGGGUUCAGGAUUUUAGGCCAAAUGUGAAGGGCAUUUGGACUGACGUUUGUACAAAAUGUACCAGUAUGUGUACACGAAAUUACAUUUCACGCAUGAAGGUCUUCUAUAGAUAGCCGAACAUUGUGCUUUCUUUGUCAAAUAAGGUUCGAGCAUGCCCUGUUCUUGAAAUUUUCCCUGUUAUUAACAGGACUUGACAGAGUGGAGAAGCUGUAGAUUUGUUGGAGUCCUUUUAUCUUGUUUUACAAUGUAAGAACUUGGCUUUUCUUUGCUUAAGAGUGUUGCAAGGAAGGAUGAGAUGGUGUGAGGGCUUUUAUAGACUCUCUGUCUAGUAGUUUAGAUCUGCUUUGUGUUUGUGUCUGUGAUUGCGUUGGCAGGGUUGCGAGGGGGAUGGAGGAUGGGGAGUGUACAUGUUUGUGUAUUGUGUAUGUAACUAUGUAACUAUGUCUAUGUCAAUAAGGAUGAGCUUGUAUGAAUUGGUGUACCAUGUAGAGCAUAUACCAAGUUAUGUUGAAAUAUAUGUGGGCAGAGAAAGAUUUGAGCCUAAA
rnacentral:lncRNA from 1 species